UGGGGAAUUUUGGACAAUGGACGCAAGUCUGAUCCAGCCAUGCCGCGUGCGGGAAGAAGGCCUUCGGGUUGUAAACCGCUUUUGUCAGGGAAGAAACGAGUUUCUCUAAUACAGAGACUUAAUGACGGUACCUGAAGAAUAAGCACCGGCUAACUACGUGCCAGCAGCCGCGGUAAUACGUAGGGUGCAAGCGUUAAUCGGAAUUACUGGGCGUAAAGCGUGCGCAGGCGGUUAUGUAAGACAGAUGUGAAAUCCCCGGGCUCAACCUGGGACCUGCAUUUGUGACUGCAUAGCUGGAGUGCGGCAGAGGGGGAUGGAAUUCCGCGUGUAGCAGUGAAAUGCGUAGAUAUGCGGAGGAACACCGAUGGCGAAGGCAAUCCCCUGGGCCUGUACUGACGCUCAUGCACGAAAGCGUGGGGAGCAAACA
rnacentral:rRNA from 1 species